CUUUAGCUCAGCUGGUAGAGCAACGCAUUCGUAAUGCGUAGGUCGAGGGUUCAAAUCCCUU
rnacentral:tRNA from 1 species